GUUACUUCAUCCCGGGUUUGAUCCACUUUCCAAACUCCAAAUUUGAUGAAAUUUUUACCUAACAUUCUACACUCAUAGGGAAUUCCAAAAAGGUAACAUGCAUCACUAUCGGAGGCCGUUUGACCCCCAAAAUAAUUCAUCGAUGUUGGGACUUCGACACAGUUUUUCCGUAGUGCCGGAAAAAUUUGUCAAAAUCCGAUUCUUCCUCUUUUAACCACCUCUACAACCCUUAUCCGACCCCUCUAGACUACAUCCACCCUUUGUAUAGCCUAAUGUCAUCAAAAGACUAGAUAGGGACGGAUAUUUACCUUUUUCUUUUUAGAAAUCGA
rnacentral:lncRNA from 1 species